UUGCAAUAAAUCUUGCCACUGCUCACUCUUUGGGUCCACACUGCUUUUAUGAGCUGUAACACUCACCGCGAAGGUCCGCAGCUUCACUCCUGAAGCCAGCGAGACCACGAGCCUACUGGGAGGAACGAACAACUCCCGACGCGCCGCCUUAAGAGCUGUAACACUCACCGCGAAGGUCUGCAGCUUCACUCCUGAGCCAGCGAGACCACGAACCCACCAGAAGGAAAAAACUCCGAACACAUCUGAACAUCAGAAGCAACAAACUCCGGACACGCCGCCUUUAAGAACUGUAACACUCACUGCGAGGGUCCGCGGCUUCAUUCUUGAAGUGAGUGAGACCAAGAACCCACCAGUUCUGGACACAAUUUCAAGUCCUCAGGUGCCAUCAAUAUUCUGAAAAUGGCAGUGAUUUUUAUUCAACCUGUAUAAGGCACUUUCACCAUG
rnacentral:lncRNA from 1 species